rnacentral:rRNA from 1 species
UACGUAGGUGGCAAGCGUUGUCCGGAUUUACUGGGCGUAAAGAGCGCGCAGGCGGUCGAUCAAGUCGCGUGUGAAAGCCCCCGGCUCAACUGGGGAGGGUCACGCGAUACUGAUCGACUCGAAGGCAGGAGAGGGUAGUGGAAUUCCUGGUGUAGCGGUGGAAUGCGCAGAUAUCAGGAGGAACACCGAUGGCGAAGGCAGGUCUCUGGGCACUUACUGACGCUGAGGAGCGAAAGCGUGGGGAGCGAACAGG